GACAGAGGGUGCAAACGUUGCUCGGAAUUACUGGGCGUAAAGCGCGUGUAGGUGGACUUAUAAGUCGGGUGUGAAAUCCCUGGGCUCAACCCAGGAACUGCAUUCGAAACUGCAAGUCUAGAGUAGUGGAGAGGGAUGGCGGAAUUCCGGGUGUAGAGGUGAAAUUCGUAGAUAUCCGGAGGAACACCAGUGGCGAAGGCGGCCUCCUGGACACUUACUGACACUGAGACGCGAAAGCGUGGGGAGCAAACAGG
rnacentral:rRNA from 1 species